CAAGGAAUUUUCCGCAAUGGGCGCAAGCCUGACGGAGCAACGCCGCGUGGGGGAGGACGCCUUUCGGGGUGUAAACCCCUUUUCUUGGGGAGGACGACCGACAGUACCCGAGGAAGAAGGACCGGCUAACUACGUGCCAGCAGCCGCGGUAAUACGUAGGGUCCGAGCGUUGUCCGGAGUUACUGGGCGUAAAGCGCGCGCAGGCGGCUGGGCAAGCAUGGCGUGAAAGCCCCCGGCUCAACCGGGGAGGGUCGUCGUGGACUGCUUGGCUUGAGGGCGGGAGGGGCUGGUGGAAUGCCCGGUGUAGUGGUGAAAUGCGUAGAGAUCGGGCGGAACACCCGUGGCGAAGGCGGCCAGCUGGACCGACCCUGACGCUGAGGCGCGAAGGCGUGGGGAGCGAACGG
rnacentral:rRNA from 1 species